GUCGACGAGCACGAUCGCAACACCUAAACGCCUUGCGGUGAUAUGGAGUCGCCAACCACCUCGAUCUAGCCAAAGGGCCAAAUUAAGAUGGGUUUCGGAGAAAAACAACUAAGGCCCUCUUUGUUUAGGCUUAUAAGCCAACUUAUAAGUCGAAAAGUCUAAGCCAAAACAAACAAGCAGCUUUUUCAUUUGGCUUUUUUAAGCCAUAAGCCACUCUAACACUAUUAAGCCAAAAGCUAGGUUGGAGAAGCUUUUUUUGGCUUAUAUGAGAUAGAUGUAUGACUCUACCAUUAAACUUAGGACAUUAAAUCCACUGGCUUAUAAAUCAUAUAAGCCAAUAAGCUGACUUAAAAGUCUAGGCCAAUAAGCCUAAGCCUAAACAAAGAGGGCCUAAACCGGCUAGCGGAGCCGAUUUAGAGAUCAAAAUCAGCCUCUAGGCCGAUUUAGAUCGAUAUGAGGAUAACUACCCGUCUCGUGGGCAAAACGGAAGGUUUUCAGGACAAACCUACAAAGAGGUGUCGCACUCUCGCAGCGGCGGCGGACGGUUUACAGCGCAAACCGACAAAGAUGGACUAAACUAGGGUAAAAUAGAAAACAUAGUAAAAGAACGAUUCAAGUAAAUUGUAUUCGGGGGUUUUACAAUGAACCGGCGGCCUUGUCCCUUAAAUAGGGGGUUGGUCUUGCCCUCUACAGGCCCUUCUCCACGUCCAACUCGGGAUAGAAACUAAAGGAAACACGAAACAUGCCUUCCCGAGCAAGGAAACCUGAGACCCGACGAAAACAGACUCGGACUCGGACCCUGCCGGUCUGACCGCCUACAUACCUGCGGUCAGACCGGCCCUACUAGCCGGUCAGACCGCCCACACACCUGUAGUCUGACCGCCCUGUGAAGGAAACCUGUCACUUUCCAAACUUUGGCAAUCUUCCCCUAUUUCGUCCAUAGGUGCCAAAUUUGGGUGUAAACACAUGCCCCCCUGCCUUUUUGGUGAACAUACGUGAACCUAAAAGCAUAGAACAUGUUAUCUCAGGGCGAUAAUCCAAUUACUGGCCAUAGGACUUCCUAAGCAUCUUGCCAAAUGCUCGGGAAGCAUUUCUUCAAGUAUUUCCCAUUAAUUGAUAUCUGAAAACACCAUCUUGAAGUGUCUUCAUCUCCUUCAAAGUCUUCAAACGCUCGUCGAUGACAUCUUCAAAAAUUGCUUCCCAUCAAGGUCUUAUAAUCUUCAACCGACAAGUCGUCUUGCUUGAAAUACCGAAGAGAGCCAAGAUUUACCUCAACUGGCAAAACGGCAAUUUCAACAAUGUUUUAUUACUCGACUCGGCUUAUCCAUUAACCUGAGUGUAAGAACUCAACAACUUAAUAUCAUAAGAUUCGGCAAUACUUCUCACUUCCUUGGACAUAAAAGAAGCUCCUUUAACGUUUGAGGAAUACCGAAUCUAUGAACAAUAUGCUUCAAAAUAGAGUCAAUUACCUCCGUACAAGUAAUAUUCUCGAGCGGCACGGCUUCGGCCCACUUAGUAAGUAAUCCAUUGCAACUAGCACGAACCAAUGCUCUUUUGAUGACGAAGAAUAAAUUUGACCAAUGAAAUCCAAAGCCCAACCUCGGAACGGCCAUAGUUUAAUGAUAGGAUUCAACACAACGGUAGGCGCUAGUUGAACAUUGCCAAUCCGUUAACAAGCUUCACUCCCUCUAUAGCAUUUGAAACAAUCAUCAAUUAUUUUCGGCCAAUGAAACCCCACUCUCCUAAGCAACCAAUUUAUCUUACGGGCCGAUUGAUGAAUUUCACAAAUCCCUUCAUGUACUACUCUCCUAGCAACUUCAGAUUGAUCAUUAUCUAAGUAAUACUCCAUCUAUUUUUCGGUGAUAUAAUAUUUGAACGCUUGCCGCCGAAUCUUCCGAUCAACCUUAAGUGUAGGAUCUUUCAAAUAUCUAAUCAAAGGAAUUCUCCAAGCUAUUUCUAACUCAUGGGCACAAAUGUUCGAAUUCACAAUUAAUUUGGCCUUUUAAUCAAUUGUAACGUGCCCCCCAGCCUCCUGUCUGGGAUCGGUCAGACCGGCCACGCAAUGCCGGUCAGACCACCCUGUCUGCCCGGUCAGACCGGCUAUGCAGAGCCGGUCAGACCGCCGGUACCACCGGUCAGACCGGCCGUGCAAUGCCGGUCAGACCGCCCUUGGUCUAUGACUUUGCCAAUUUCGUCCAAACUUUUAAAAUCAAGCAUCGGCCUUUAGUAUAUAAUUUUUCUUCACAUAAUAGCCAGAUGCUUGGUGUAUCAAAUUAUUGGACCAAAAUUCCUCCUCUCUAGACAUAUGAAAAACUAUAACAUCCAACUAACAUGUCUAGAUGAAUACUAAUUCAAAUGGCUUUUGAAACAAUAAUCAUCAUGGCAUCAAAACACUUAGCCAAUUGAAUAAUGAAUCACCAAAGUCAUAUGCCUCACACACAUGAAUUCCAAUAAACUACAAAUGUAAGUAAUCGGCUUGAGCAUGUAUGCAAAAUAUUAAUAAUGCCAAUGUUUCUAAAGAAAACAACUCUAGAAUAAAUCAUCACAUUGACCAUUGACAUUAGCCGAAUUACUAAUAAGCAAAACUUUCAUGGUGCAAUAAUUAUAAAAUCUAUAUCUUAUAUGGUGAUCCAUAAAAACACAUACAAUUUGGCUUUAAAUAAAUAUCAAAGACUCGUGAACCAAAUCAUACUUAAAACAAAUUAUAUGCCAACCUACCAAUUCCACUACUUAGAACUGGCAUUUGCAACAUGUAUGUAUAAUAUCAAUUUGAUAAGCAAACAACACACAUGUGCUAGAUAGUAAGCAAUGUUCUAACAUGGCAUAGGCAUAUAAUAUAAUGUUAAACACAAAAAAACCCAUACCUUGCCUUAGCAUCCGACAAACGGCGGCUCAAAGAUGUGAUGUUGUAUCCAUCGCCGUUCAUCUCUCUUGAUUUCUUCAUAAGCAUAUUAAUGUCUUGCCCCCCGAGCAAAAUCGGCUUUCUUGAUUGCACGAUUUCAAAGGCAAGACGAACACCGCACCAACAUCCAUAGCAUCAUGUGAAGGAGACUUAUCUCUAAUGACCGAUGAUUCUUCUCUCAUCAUAUUGGAUUUAUCACUACUUUGGGAAAUCACCGAUCUCUUACCUUUUACUUCUUUAGGUCUCCACACUCGCUUAGGUGUCGUUCGAGGCUCUAAAUUAUUACAUGUUUUGUUCUCCACAUCUUCGGCCUCCUUUUCUUUUUGACCUAUGGCCCGAAGACGCUGAAGCCUCCUCUUUUGAGAGCGAGAUAAGCCGGAAGGUAUCCACUUCAGCUGUGGUUGUUUUCCAGGAGCCAAAUGAUGAUUCUUCAUAUUUUUGGUCGAAGUGGAAGCUCCUGUGUUGCUCUCAAUUUUCUCACUCUUCUCUAAUGCCCCCCGGUCAGACCGGCCUCUAGGCCCGGUCAGACCGGCUACAAACCGUCGAUCAGACCGGCCAGGAAGGUCGGUCAGACCGGCCGUUGUCUGGCGGUUAGACCGGCUAGCUGUUUUGGUCAAGCCGCCGAUGUUGACAGUAACGGCGUCGGCUUCAGUCUUCUCCGCUUGUAUAGUUUUCGGCGCAUCUCCAGUAGGUACAUGAACAUCUUAAGAUUCCUCAUUGAUAGCAACGACCUCCGGAGCUUUGGCUUCUUUCCUCACCCACACCUUCACCUUUUUCACCUUUGAUCCACCGGACCGAUUCUUUUGUGGGAAACGGUCUUGUCUUGAGUUAGAUGAAUGACUUGAUGUUGACCUAGGUGAUUCCUUCCACUCUUGGUAAUACGGCAUAGGUGGUUGAUGCAUCCAAGGCAUGUAAUACAUAAAAGGAUAACCAUAUAGUGACAUUGGAUAUGGAUACCAUGGCAUCACAACCGGAGGUUUGUAUGGAGUUGGUAUAGUUGAUGGCUCCGAUUGCUUUGGUAUUUGACCAAAUCUCUUCCUACAAGAUGAUCUUGGUCUUUUUGAAUCACUAGUUUGAUUAUCAAGUCGUUGACCGGCUAAUCCUUUAUUGUACUUAGCCAUAAGCAUCUCAAAAGUGAGCUUCGGCUUUUUGGUCCUUUGGAAACUAGAUGACUCAUCCUUUGCAUCUUUAUGAUCUUCGGCCUUCGCAUUUUUGAUCCUAUUCUUGGGCCGAGGAUCCCCAAUAAUAACACGUCUCCCUUUCUUUUUGUCAACAUCAAUAGGACUAACAGAGAGAGGAUCACUAACAACUCCGGUCUUAGGCAUAGAUGUAACCGAAAUAAUUUCACAAGUGACCGAUGAAUCAUCAACCGGUCUUUUCUCCAUCAAGUUUGCAUCUUUAAAAUAAUCAUGAAACUCAUGCUUCAUUUGUGACCAUGUAGAAAUUGAACUAGGAGCAAGCAAACUAUACCAUGUAGAUGCAAAGUUUGACAAAGAAAGAGAAAACAACUUUAACUUACGCAAAUCAUCGCUACCGGCCUUACCGCAUUGAUCAAUAAAGCGGUCGAUAUGCUCCAUUGUAGUCAUAGCAUUCUCACCUGUGAAUUUCGUGAAGUUGGGCACCUCAAAUCCUUGCGGGUAUGGAACUGAAUCUACAUGUUCAGGAUACGGCCUUUGAUAUAUAUGCAUGGCUACUUUGGAUUCUAUUUCACUACUAUCCCGCAAGACAUUGUCAUCAUCUUUUCCAACAUCUACAUGACCGAUUUGUGACUCGGUCUUAGGUGACAAUGCUAUUUCACUUUCGCUUGUAAUACAAUCCGAACCGUCAUUUAGUUCGGCUAUAUCUUCAAUGAUGCUAUUCUCUAAGCUAGCAAUACAAUCCGAACCACCACUUGGUUCGGCUAUUCCAUCGUUGUCUAAACUAGUAACACAAUCCGAACCAACACUUGGUUCAGCUAUAAUGGUUGUUGCAUUAUUUUCCAAGCUAGCAAGACAAUCUGAACCAACAUUUGGUUCGGCUAUAAUCGUUAUGGCAUCAUUGCACAAAUCAUUAACACAAUCCGAACCAUCGCUUGGUUCGGCUAUACAUGAUAUUGCAUUAUCAUCUAAACUAGCAUUUAAGCUAUUGUCAUCCACUCGGCUUUCCUGAGCCGGAGCUUCAUGCAACACAUGAUCAACAUCAAGAAAUAUCUGGCCAUUCAACCUCUCUUUAAUAGAAUCAAGCAAUCCAUCAUAUGCAAUGUCGGCCAAAUCUUUGUCAGUUAUUUUCAAGCUAUAACAUCGGUUUUUAACAUCUCUAAACCUUUCAAUAUAAUCAGCAACAGAUUCAUUGUAUUUGUGCCUAACCGAUGUUAAAUCAGACAACCUAAGCUCAGUCUCACUAGUGUGGAAAUAAUCAUGAAAUUUUUGUUCUAAUUGAGCCCAGGAAAAAAUAGAAUUUACCGGUAAAGAAGUAAACCAUGUAAAAGCAGUACCGGACAAAGAUAAAGAAAACAAGCGCAAUUUAAAAGUAUCACUAUUAGCCUCUCCACAUUGCGCUAAAAAUUGACCUACAUGCUCCCAUGUGGUCCUACUAUCCUCACCACUAAAUUUGGUAAAUUUGGGAACUCUAUAACCACGAGGAUAUGGCACAUUAUCAUAAUAAUUAGGAUACGGCUUUUGGUAAACCUUAGCACGAUUCCUAGUUUCAAUCCCAAAUUUAUCCCUAAUAAUCUCACUAAUUAUCUCCUCCAUAUUAUCAGGCCUAUGUUGAAUUGGUGGUGGAUUUGGUGGCCUAAUAGGUUGUGUUUGUGGCGCAAUAUGAUUAUAUUGGCCUUGCCUAGUAUCGUGAGAAUAUCCUCUAGCAACAUCAUUAUAAGUAUUAGGAACAUGCGGGGGAACUUGGGGAUUAGUUGUAGCAGUAGAUACAGGAGGAUCAAAUGUUCUAAGAUGAUACAAAUAACUAGCAUUAGUCAUUGGAUCUAUCCCCUGAAUCGGUAUGAUUGUGCCGGUCUGACCGGUCCAGGGCUCGGUUUGACCGACAUCCAGAGGCGCGGUCAGACCGGCCUGAGUCCCGGUCUGACUGCCGGGGUAAUAUCCAGUCGGACCGGCCGUUUGGCCGGUCGGACCGACGGUGAAAUCGCGGUCUGACCGGCCAUCAGGUUCGGUCGGACCGGCUAUAUGCGCUGCUCCAUCGGUUCCACUACUUGUUUGAUCUAUAGGAGCUUGACUAGCAGUGGUAGAGGCUUUAUUUUUAAACAUGUAAUCGGCCAUAAGAGGGCCGAAUUUAAAUCUUAAAAACUCAUCAAAUUUACCCUCAAAAGUUGCAUCUAACUUAUCUUUAAAAACAGUCAUGGAUGAAUCUAUUGUAGAUGCUACUUCUUGUUGGAUAGAUUGUGUUACCUUCGGUGAAACUGCAACUUGAGGUAGCGGCACGUUUCCUUUCAUGACGUCUUGAUCGGUCUUGAUGUAUUGUGUAGCAAUAUUGUUGAACCGUUCCCGCUCGUCAUAGUUAAUGAAGAAAUUCCUUGAUUAAAUCCGGCCAUAUAGCUCAUAGCCGAAAUAUUUGACCGAAUAAAUUAAUACACGGUCUUGGAAUUUUUUCUCUCGCGAUGAGCAAUGUGUGCACUAAUUAAUUCCACCAAAAUCAACAGAUAAACUUUGCUUUGUCUCUCUGUAGAUCGGCUCUGGUAUAGCCUGAUCUUUUUGAUCUAUGCACGUAUACAGUAAUAAAAGGAAACAAUGCUCCUGCUGCUUGUCUCUCGGCAGAUCGGCUCUAGUAGCCUGAUCUUUUCCUCUGUUGCCAUGUGAAACAAAAGGAAAGGAGGUUGCCGAGUCAGCUACUGCUCCCUGAUGAUGAUCUUCAGUACACACGGCAAGUGUUCAGAUGGAUUCGGUGACGACCAAAUAACCUCGCCGCCGAUUAGAUUAAUCCGGCGAUACUAGAUUAAUUUCGGCCGUUUAGCCGAAACUUGGAUUUGACGAAACGGUAGCUACUAGAUUAAACGAAAUUCGGCCGUGAUAUGGCCGAUUAGAUCGUUCCCCAGUGGAGUCGCCAAAAAUCGUGUUGGCAACUUUUUUGACAAGUCGACAAGCACGAUCGCAACACCUAAACGCCUUGCGGUGAUAUGGAGUCGCCAACCACCUCGAUCUAGCCAAAGGCCAAAUUAAGAUGGGUUUCGGAGAAAAACAACUAAACCGGCUAGCGGAGCCGAUUUAGAGAUCAAAAUCAGCCUCUAGGCCGAUUUAGAUCGAUAUGAGGAUAACUACCCGUCUCGUGGGCAAAACGGAAGGUUUUCAGGACAAACCUACAAAGAGGUGUCGCACUCUCGCAGCGGCGGCGGACGGUUUACAGCGCAAACCGACAAAGAUGGACUAAACUAGGGUAAAAUAGAAAACAUAGUAAAAGAACGAUUCAAGUAAGUUGUAUUCGGGGGUUUUACAAUGAACCGGCGGCCUUGUCCCUUAAAUAGGGGGUUGGUCUUGCCCUCUACAGGCCCUUCUCCACGUCCAACUCAGGAUAGAAACUAAAGGAAACAUGAAACAUGCCUUCCCGAGCAAGGAAACCCGAGACCCGACGAAAACAGACUUGGACUCGGACCCUGCCUGUCAGACCGCCCAUAUACCUGCGGUCAGACCGGUCCUACUAGCUGGUCAGACCGCCCAC
rnacentral:lncRNA from 1 species